AGUAACGGCGAGUGAAGCGGCAACAGCUCAAAUUUGAAAUCUGGCGCAAGCCCGAGUUGUAAUUUGUAGAGGAUGCUUCUGGGUAGCGACCGAUCUAAGUUCCUUGGAACAGGACGUCAUAGAGGGUGAGAAUCCCGUAUGUGACCGGCCCGCACCCUUUACGUAGCUCCUUCGACGAGUCGAGUUGUUUGGGAAUGCAGCUCUAAAUGGGAGGUAAAUUUCUUCUAAAGCUAAAUACCGGCCAGAGACCGAUAGCGCACAAGUAGAGUGAUCGAAAGAUGAAAAGUACUUUGGAAAGAGAGUUAAAAAGCACGUGAAAUUGUUGAAAGGGAAGCGCCUGCAACCAGACUUCGCGGCAGUGUUCCGCCGGUCUUCUGACCGGUUCAUUCUCUGUCGCGAGGCCAUCAUCGUCUGGGCCCGCCGGAUAAGACCUGAGGAAUGUGGCUCCCCCUCGGGGGAGUGUUAUAGCCUCUGGUGAUGCGGCGUGGCUCGGGCGAGGUCCGCGCUUCGGCAAGGAUGAUGGCGUAAUGGUUGUCGGCGGCCCGUCUUGAAACACGGACCAAGGAGUCUAACAUCUAUGCGAGUGUUCGGGUGUCAAACCCCUACGCGUAAUGAAAGUGAACGGAGGUGGGAACCGUAAGGUGCACCAUCGACCGAUCCUGAUGUCCUCGGAUGGAUUUGAGUAAGAGCAUAGCUGUUGGGACCCGAAAGAUGGUGAACUAUGCCUGAAUAGGGUGAAGCCAGAGGAAACUCUGGUGGAGGCUCGCAGCGGUUCUGACGUGCAAAUCGAUCGUCAAAUUUGGGUAUAGGGGCG
rnacentral:rRNA from 1 species